rnacentral:tRNA from 1 species
GCCCCCGUGGCUCGAACAGACUAGGCACCGCACUUCUAAUGCGGCUUAUGUAGGUGCAACUCCUACCGGGGGUA